GUUUUUAUAGUGUAAGCUUAGCACGCCAUGCUUUCAACUUGGAAUUAAAGGGGGACCCUUUUAAAAACA
rnacentral:tRNA from 1 species